rnacentral:lncRNA from 1 species
CGGUUCGCGGUCCUAUAAGGCGCUGCUUGUUUAAGUACAUCGCAUUUAGUUGAAGCUGCAGGGGAGUGAGGGAGAGGAGGAUAGGAAGCAGGAAAGCGGGAGAGCUCGAGGGACAAGGGGGCUCGGUGUGUUUACACCAGGCACGGGCUACGAGCGUCCAUCCCGGCCCCUGGCUUGCGCUCCCGAAGAGGAGAGCAAGGCUGUUCUGGGAUCCGGCCGUCGUGCGGCAAGAGGCUUGUCUGUCCGGGUUGCCGGAACCAGGAGAACCCAGAGGGAAACCGAGGGAAAGGAGCGGCGCGUUUUACUAGAGAGAGCGCGAGCGGAAGAGGCGAGAGCAGGAGCGCGCGAGGGAGCAUCGAGCGCAGCGGAGACAUGAGGACCUACUGGCUGCACAGCGUCUGGGUGCUGGGCUUUUUCCUGUCCCUCUUCUCAUUGCAAGGUAAGUGAAACCAAUUUUUACAGCACAGCAAUGGUUACUGGAAUCUGUCAACAUGUAGUGACUUUCUUCACUGAAUAUGCCACGGGGAGACAUUUCAAUAUCUUCCAUCACCCCCGCUUGACUUGUGAGUCUUUAUCCAGAAUUUCUAAAUAACCAAUAAGUAACCUAGGAUUAAGAAAUAUUUAAAUGUUUACAUUUGUAUCUCUAUGUGAUGUUUAGUUAUAUCUUUAAGGUAAGUGGGCCUAUUUAAGUCUUGAUUUUAAUAAGAAAAAACUAAAAGAAUAUUAUUCUCUUUACAGCAAAAUCCAUGAUAAAUUUCCAUUAAAGAACAAUCUUCUUUAAUGUGUUUUUCCUUAUUUAAUUUACAUUAAAUACAUUUGGAGGGGAAUCUUAAGAUACGCAUCUCUGAUUGUUUGAAGCACACCUCUCUGUACACACAUAGCGCUUCUCUUUUGUUCCUUUUCCCCUUAAAAGAUCGACUCAAAGGUAUGAAUUGGCAUGGUUUUUGGUGUGCUCUAGAGUGUAGGAUAUUAAAAUACAUGGCUUCUUUCCUGUUGCGUCAUCCAAUUCUACUCUGAUGUCAGCAUUUUAAAGUUGUAGAAAGUGAGUUCUUAGCAGUGCAGUGUUUAGUAGAAUUUAGUUGGCAAAAUGGGAGAAAAAAUAGUGAAAAGAGGGAAAAGAAUACUUGAGAACUCUCAAGUAAGUAUUAGAACAGUGACUUCUCCUAGAAAAUUGGCAGUGACUCCUCUUGGCCUCUGGCUGAGUUUGGCCACUCUUUGACUUUUCAUAUUUAGCAAUUAUUCAAUUCCUUAUCCUGCUUUCCAAAAUCAGUUUUUUUUUUCUGCAGAGAAUGCAUCAGCCAUGUUUUAUUUUGCCAUUUGCAUUUACUCUGAGCAUUUCAGAUGUUCCAGUGAACUGAGUUGUGUGCCACUUGUGUGUAAUUUUUGGUACAGGUACCCCUGUCCUUCACAGAUAAGUGACACACCUCCUUAUUCAUAAUAAUUAUCCUAGCUGAUGGAGCUCAUCGAGCCAGCCCCUCUGCUCACCUGAUGGGGACAGAAGUUUCUGAGGUGCUGCUGAUUUCUUAUUUGAAUUCUGUCAUCAAUAUCCAUGUGUGGAAUUAUUAAUUACAACACACAAUGGAAUGGUCUUAGAGCAAAAGGUUGAACAGUUUUACCUGAAGAUCACUGUUGGAAUUGGCCCUCUGUGAUACAUUAUUAUAAACAUUUCAUUGUGUUUAAUUGUUGAGUGCCUCACUCAAUAAUUUACUAUUGUGUGUCAAAAUGGGUCUUGCUCUAUAUGGUAAAUGUAGGAUGACUGUAUUGCUGUGUAUAAUGUAGUUUCUAAAUUCAGAAGUGAAAAUGGCCCAAGUAUGUCUGCUUUUAAACACACACACACACACACACACACACACACACACGAUAGUACUGAUGUAAAGAAAGCAACCAUGAGAUUUCGAAUUCAUGUCAGCUCCACUAUAGCAUCAUGGAUUUUAUCAUAAUAUUUGUAUAGCACGAUAUAAAAAGAGCACUAGCUUUAGAGUCAUAAAGUCAGAGCCUAAACCUAGGUUCUACCUUUUACCAUCUUAUGAUGUGGAGUCAGGCACUUAAUCUUGCUGGGUCUCAGUUAUUUUUUAAUAGGUAAACUGGAUAUAAUGGUAAUUAUUUUCUGAAGUUAUAAUGAAUAUGCUGAGAAUAAAAUUUCAUGAAAUAUUAUUUGUAAAAUUCCUGAUACAUCAUAGAUUAUCAAUAAAUGGUAGCUGAUGAAGGAGGAGAAGAAAAAAA